rnacentral:lncRNA from 1 species
CCGGAAUUGUGAACAAACAAGGAGAACUAUAUCUGCCUUCAAAGUCAUAGAAAAUAUGCAUAAAAUUAUCACAUAGUAUCAGAAAUCCCAAUUCACGAACCUUAGUAGUCAACUCAAAAUCGCCAUUUUUCCAGGACCCAUUUCUUACAAACCCAUCACAAGCACAAAUCUUCCUCAAAGUCGCCAAUAUCAAUCCGAUGGCUGUAUCAGCCACAUCUUCUGUUAGCACAUCAGGCGUGUUUGUAACUCUGAUCCCUCUUUUUUCACAUUUAUUCAAAUCAAUCUUGUCCACUCCGACACUGUAACUCGCCACGAUUUGCAAAUGCGGUAGUGCAUCAAUCAGGUCGGAGUCGGCAUUAAAUGAAGCGUUGCCAACCACUGCGAGAAUUGAAUCAGAUUUUUGUUCCAAAAACUGGGUUUCGGAACGCGAUUCCCAAAAUCUGAAGAGUGUGAAGCGCUUUUCGAGUUCUUCUUCGAGAUAGGCUAACAUGGGACAAGUCAUUAGCACGCCCACGCCCUCCAUUUUUUUCUGCAGUAAAUAACAUCCCAAGUUUGACAAGUAUAUAUUGAGCUUCAAAACGACCAUUAUCUUCUAAUGAUUUAAAAAGUGUAAAAUGUCAAAGGGUCGAAUGAAUUUGACUCUGAUUGAAUAGAGAACAUUUUCAAUUUUAGGUGAGUUUUAAAUUCUCAACUAGUCUAUAACCGAAUCAGUUCUUUUAUUUUUCCAAUCAUAUCGAUCAGCCUUAAUUUUGAUAGUAAGGUGUUUUUCAACUCAAUCGUAUAAUGAAGAGAGAGAUUUUAUGCUCAAGAUCGGUUGUUUUUCAACUCAAUGGUAUGAUAAUAUCUUAAUACAUUCUUUACUAAUUUUAUUCAUUUCGUCCAUAUUAACAACUAAUUUGCAAUAUCUUCUCCUGCAUAAGAACAUGCUUGAGUGAAUUAGCAAUGAUUCAAAGAACUUCUGUCUCCUAAUCCAUCAUCAUUGAACGACAAAAGCAGCUGAAGUCAUUAGUCUUUAACUCCUUGUUCGAAUAAGUUACUAAGGCCCAAAAAGUAACAUAAAUUUGGCAGGCCUAGAACAAUACCAUGGCAACAACAUUGUCGUGCUUUCCUGUAAUCACUCAGACUUAGCAUCUUUGUCCAAAUCGUUCAAUUUGGGAAAAACCCUGUGCCUAAAACGAACAGUACGAAUAAUAAAACGACUAGAUAACAAAAACCCAAAUCGUUACAAUUGGAACGUAAUCAAAAAAGGGGAGUCAAUAGAGAUUUGUUCGAAAAAUGCGCCUCGAGGUUAUCCACAAUAAGGUCAGCCAUGGCCUUACGAGUUUCCAUCGUGCAAGUUCCCACAUGAGGGGAAAGAACUACAUUAUCCAGGCGGCGGAGAAUCUCGGGCACUUCGGGCUCGUGCUCAAGUACAUCAAGCCCAGCACCUCUCAGCCGGCCUUCAACAAGUGCUGAUAUGAGUUCAGGUUCGUCAAUGUGACCCCCUCUUCCGAUGUUGACGAUAACUCCAUCUGAACGCAACGCGUUUAUGACAUCGCGGUUGACAAUAUGGCGAGUUUCGUCUGUUAAUGCACAUGCCACAAUAAGGAUUUGAGAGUUGGAAGCCAAGUCGAGUACGGAUGGAUAGUAAGUGUAUUUCGAUUUUGACUUUUGCGAGCGUGAAUGAUAGCUGAUUGAACAGCCGAAAGCUUCAGCUCUCUUGGCUAUUGCAGAUCCAAUCCUCCCCAAACCUAUUAUACCAAUUGAUUUGCCACUCAACUGCAAGAAAAUUGGAUAAAUUAUAUUGCAUCAAUUUACGAUUAGAAAAAACUACAAAGACAAAACAAACCUUGUGGGUCAAUUCAAAAUCGCCAUUUUUCCAUAACCCACUCCUCACAAAUCGGUCCGCCGCACAAAUCCUUCUCAGUGUCGCCAAAGUAAGCAAAAUCGCCAAAUCCGCCACCUCCUCCGUCACAACAUCUGGCGUGUAGGUGACACGUAUGCCCUUCUGUUUGCACUUAGGUAAAUCAAUUUUGUCCAACCCGGAGCCAUGAUUCGCUAUGAUUUCUAGAUUUGGGAGCGAGUUGAUUAGUUCCGAGUUAGCACCGUGGAUUCCAUUUCCUACCACUGCGAGUAUAGAUUUUGAAUUUUGAUUGAAAAAUUCGAGCUUGGAAUUUGGGGGAAUUUGCCAGAAUUUGAAAAGGGUGAAUCGUUUGGAGAGCUGUUCUUGGAGGUAAUUUGACAUUGGGCAAGUUAACAACACGCCUAUGCUUUCCAUUGUCGAUCCGAUCGGAGGAAUUUCAGUUCAUCAUUCACGGAAGGAUUCCUUGAUUUUUCUAGUGCAUAUUCUAACGGAACAUUCAUCCUUUAACUUUGCGAAAGUAAGUACUUAAAUAUUAAUUUUUUUUAUGUUCUUAACUUUCAGUUACCGUGCAAGUUAAUCCCCACUCAAUGAAAACUAUUAGUUUAGCCCCAGUAGUUCAUUCAUUUUCUUCAUGAACAAUGGGAACUAUAAAAAGAAUAAGAAAUAAAGUUUAUUACGAAGCAUUUUUUACAAUAAGUCAACUCUUUUUAGGAGGGUGAUAAUAAGUCGAGCUGAGCUAGCCACCUAGACUCAACAAACCAGCCAAACCUAGAAAGUGAGUUGAGCUUGAGUUAUUGUCUAUUGACCAAAUCUUCGAACACAUCGAGGUCCUGGGCAUCGCAUGUGAUGAGUCAAGUAGGGUUGAGCCAUGAGAUUUUCAAUUUUUUCAAAUCAUUUAACGUAUAUCUUCAAUUCAACUGAACUCAUGUGCUUUUAAAUUAACAAUCUUCUUACGUGGAUACCCAAAUUUACAUAAUUAAAUAGGUUGAAGACUUAAAACUUCAGAGACUGGGUAACCCAUAACCACACUAAGUGAAAAGUUGGGGUGCCCAAUCCUAAUUUAUUCUCGUUCUUUUAUAGGCUAUAUAGAAACCAAUUCUAUGCGCAGCUUCAGGAUAUGGCUAUGGCGGUCGCACAAGUUUCAAGGAUUUACAAUCUCCAGCAUCCUCUUCCAGCUUUGCCAAGAUUUGCCCCACAUCAAACUACUCUCCCCACGAUGCCGUCCAGGAAUCUCUCUCUUGUUAGAGCUUCGAAGCCGGGAAGAGAAAACACAAAUGAGCCCGAUUCUGCGACCUUCAUUUCUUCGGUAAGCCACACACUUUAACAAGCAAUGGUUAAUGAAAAAAUAAAUUGUGGAUAAUCAUUAAUCCUUGUGUUUUGAUUGGAUAGGCGGACUUGAAUUACUUAGUGAAAUUAGGAGCUGGUUCUCUUGCUGGUGCAGCUGCAAUUAAAUAUGGAAGUAUCAUACUCCCAGAAAUAACACAGCCCAACAUUGUGCAGGCACUGAUUAUGAUAACUACUCCAGUUAUUGUAGCUGUCGUCCUUCUGAUCAAGCAAAGCCGUGUAGAUUGAACAAGUUUUUAUUUGACAUUUGCCCUGGAAGUGAACACAAGAUGAACUUCGUCCAGCUUCUAUUUGGAGAUCGAGGAAGAUAUGCCCAACCCAUGAUUUUGAACUAUGUUUUCGACAAUGAUACAUAAAGAAACAGUGAAUUUCGUGAGUAAAAUGUUGUAAUAAUGCGUUGUUCAGAGUCCUUGGGUUUAUGAAUAAACACAUUGUUAAGGGC